rnacentral:tRNA from 1 species
GGUGGCUCAGUAGUAGAGUGCUUGCCUUGUAUGUAUGAGGCCCUGGGUUCGGUUCCCCAGCACCA